CACGGCAUAUGGAAGUUCCCAGGCUAGGGGUCGAAUCAGAGCUACAGCUGCCAGCCUACACCACAGCCACAGCCACUGCCACAGCCAUGUGGGAUCCAAGCCAUGUCUGCAACCUAUACCACAGCUCACCUGGCAAUGCCAGAUCCUUCACGCACUGAGGGAGGCCAGGGAUCUGACCCAUGUCCUAGUCAGGUUUGUUUCUACUGAGCCACAAUAGGAACUCCCAUACUUUUUAAUCUUAAUAAAAAAUAGUGAUCUUUCUAUCUAGUGGAUAGAUAAGAUCCCUACUGUUGUGAAGAUGACAAUUUUUCUCAAAUUAAGUUAAAGAUGUAGUAUCAUCAUAAUGGAUAUCCUUGUGAGAAUUUAUCAAAUCCAUUAGAAGAGGAAAAAGACAAGAAAUUUGAGAAACUUUUGAAAAAGAAGAAUUCUGAAGUACUAGCUCUGCUGGUUAUUAAAAACAUAAUACAGAACUAUAAUAAAAAUCAGAGGGGCAUGGAUUAAAGACAGAAAAAGGAGCAUCAAAGAAAUAGAAAAGGGAUUUAAAAAUAAAUAUCAACAAUUGUAAUUGUUUUCUACAUGGCCAAGUUACCAUCACAAAUAAAAAUAAUUUAAAAAUAUCAAAAAUAUAACAAACUAAAUUGUCAUUUAAUAAAAAUACAAAAUCUAAUAAAUUGUAAGGAAAGAAAUGUAAUGAAUGAUGCUGUGACAAUGGGUUAAAUAAACAAGAUCCUAAUAUUACAAUAAAAUAAGUUUCAGGUGUAUUAAAAGUUAAAGUAAAAAAAAAAACCUACAAAAAAUAAAUAAUUAAUAGGAAUAGAAAUCUGAUCCCAGAUUUUAUAAAAGAAGGCUGUACUUACCAAAGGAGAAAAAUAAAUCAGUAUGAGUGCAUAAAACCCACACCAUGAUAUAUCAAAGCCUACCAUAAGCAAAACUGAGUCUAUAAUAAAAUCGGAAAAUUAUUUUUGGAAAAAUGACAAAAGGUGAUGUUAUUAAAUAGAGCUCAUGGCAAUUGGUAACUCUGUCAAUAGGAAAAUGGGCCAUACAUGCGUAAACCAGAGUUCACUGACAAAGAAUAUGUGUUGCUAAUAAAUAAAAUAAAAUGUUUGCCCUCACUACCAAAUAAGGACAUAGAAACUCAAAAUAAGAUAAUAAGAUAGCAACCUGACCCUAGAUUGGUAGGGUGAAGGGAAGAGGAGAGAUGGUGAAUUUCACACACCGCACUCCAGCUCCCAGCCCAUGCUGUACUAGAAGGGCUUCCUCACUCAACCUUCCUUCUGAGCCUUCAGUCGAAGAAUGAUGGGAGUACCUGUCAAAGAGAAGGAAGAGAUGGAGCACACGUGCCAUGUCACACGAGCAGGUUUAGUGCCAUGUCGUUGUUUCACUGUGAUGCUGGACCACUUUUCUUGACCCCAUCCUUUUUUUAGUAGGAUCAUGACUUUUUAGAGGAGACCCCUUCCUGACCCCAGGACUAGAGUGGAGAGAAAAAAAUAAAUAAAACCAAGAUAGUGGAAGAGGGAGGAGAAUGCCCUAAAGUCCAUCUGCAGGAGUCUCAGUACACACGGUUGGUCACAUAGAGGGAGAGUUCAGAGGUGUUUGUAUCAUUCUGUGGCACACGGAUCUCGCGUUGUCUACUCCAGAGAUUUUCUUUCCAAUGAUGGACUUGUAAGCAACAGGGAAUGAUUAAAGUGUUGGUUAUAUUCGCAGAGCUUUUCUAAAAUAAUAAUAUAUAAUGAAAUGAAGAAAUGUUGAGACAGCCACUCUGAUACAAAUACUUGAUAUCAUUAGCUUCAUUUGCUACAAGAUUCCUAUUAGGCAUUUAAGGUAUUAAGAGUUUUAGGUGUUCCCAUUGUGGCUCAGCAGGUUAAGAACCCAAUACAAUAUCCAUGAGGAUGUCAGUUUCAUUCCUUGCCUCCCUCAGUGGGUUAAGGAUCCAGCAUUGCUACAAGCUGCAGCAUCGGUCGCAGAUGCAGCUCAGAUCUGGCAUUGUGGUGGCUCUGGCAUAGGCCCGCGUCUGUGGCUCCAAUUCAACCCCUGGCCUGAAAACUUCCAUAUGGCACACAUGUGGCCCUAAAAAUAAAAUAAAAUGAGAUAAGGUAUUAAGUGUUCUAAAUUUUAAAAAAAAUAAAUUAAAACAAAAUAAGAUAUUAUAGAAAGUGAUACAUACAGUGAAGAAAAGAAAUUGGAGCUAGAGAAUGACCAGGGGUUUUCAGGGAAAUUCUUAUGGAAGAGGCAAUGUGUUAGUCAGGAUUCUCCAGAGACAGAGAACCAGUUUGAUGGAGGUCUGUCUGUCUAUACAGAUGUAGGUGUAAAGGCAGAUAGAGAAUAGAUAUAUAGAUAGAGAUAGAGAUUUUUGUAAAGAACUGGCUGACGUGAUUGUGAGGUUAUCAAGUCUGAAAUUCAAGGCAGGUCAACAGGCUGAAAACCCUGGGAAUAGCUGCUGUUGUAGUCUUGAGUUCAAAGCAGCCUAGAGGAUGAAAUUGUUCCCUUUCUGAGGACCUCAGUCUUUCAAUUAAUUGGAAGAGGCUCCAUCCAUAUUCUGGAAUUUAAUUGUCUUUACUCAAGGUCUCCUGAUGUAAAUCUUAGUCACAUAUAAAAAACUGACCAACCACUGGCCACCAUAGCCUAGUCAGGCUGAUAAAUCAAUUUAAUCUUCAUAGAUAAUAUUUCAGCUGACAAGUUAAUGACAAGAUGUAACCCUCCACGUGUGCUUCUGGUAAAACAAAUGCCAAGGCUCUAAGGUAGGUGUUCAGGCACAAAAAGAACACCUGUAUGCUAGCAUCCCAGUUGUGUGCCAGAGUCUGCUCAGAUUGCCUCCCAAGAGCUGAAUAUAAGACUUUCUUUCCAACCUCACAUUCAGAAACACCAUGCUAAUAACUUGACAUCAUCCAGAGAAAUUAGCAAAUGCUACUAACCAGGGCUUUUGUUGAUUUCCACUUUUAAACAUUUGCCAGCACAAUACUGAAAAAUGGAGAGAGAUAGAGAGGGUAGGCACAGGCCUUACAUGUCACGUUAAAAAAUUUAGAUCUCGGAGUUCCCUUUGUGGCUCAGCAGUUAACGAAACUGACUAGAAUCCAUGAGGACGUGGGUUCAAUCCCUGGCCUUGCUCAGUGGGUUAAGGAUCUGGCAUUGCUGUGAGCUGGGGUGUAGGUCGCAGACAGGGCUUGGAUCCUGCAAUGCUGUGGCUGUGGUGUAGGCAGUGGCAACAGCUCCGAUUUGACCCCUAGCCUGGGAAACUCCAUAUGCCACAGGUGCAGCCCUAAAAGACAACAACAGCAAAAAAUUUAGAUCUUGGUCUAAGUGGGAAGAUUGACACUUUCAAGUAAUAUUAUGAUUUAUAAGGACUCGUGUUGUGGAGCAUGCUUUGUAGAAACUAGUGAGAGAGUAACUGAACAAACUUAGAGAAGACGUCAUCGGCCAGACUGGAGUUGUGGCAGACACAAAGAAAGAGGUGACGAUUUUGUAAGACAUUCUGGAGAGCGUGCCUAUAUGACUAGGAUGUAGGAAGGUGCAAGGAAAGAAAUUCAGAAUGAUGCCUCGUUAUUGACCUAAACAGGAGGGCACCUUUAGGGGUCAUUUUCUGAGAUGGGAACCCUUGAGAAGAAGCAUUUCAGCAGAUAAAUGCGAAGGGAAAAGGGGAUCAGCUAUUGCUUUGGCUUUGAGAUGCCCAUUGAACUUGGAAAUGCCUGAAGUUUUUAAGGAGGAAAUUUUACCUGUGAGUUUGAAAGUUCAAGGCUGGAGGUAGAAAUUUGAGAGUCACCUCCAUGCAGAGAUGCUGACUUUCCUAAGGAAAUCAUCAGAAAUUCAGACAAAGAUUUACAGGUUAAAAUGAAAGAAGACCCCAAAAGUACUGAAUAAUUGAGUAAGAGAGAUAUAUGGAGGCAAUGAAUCAACAUGUUAACAGUAGUUAGCAAAGUCAAGUGUAAUUAUGGAAAACAAAUAUUCUUUAGGUUUUUUUUUUUUUUUAUCCUUAAGAAAUUCACCACAACAAACAAAUUAUUCUUAAAGUUGGGAGCAAACUGAAACCACUUGGGAGGACAAGUUUGGCAGUUGCUACAAAACUAAGUAUGUUCUUACCAUGUGAUCCAGCCAUGGCUCUCCUUGGUGUUUACCCAGAGGAGUUAAAAAACUAUGUGUACUCAUCAACCUGCACACAGAUGUUUAUAGUAGCUUUAUUUGUAAUUGCCAAACCCUUUGAUGAGACCAAGAUGUAUUUAGUAGGUGAAUAGAUAAAUUGUGGUACAUCCAAACAAUGGGAUAUUAUUCAGCACUAGAAAAAAAUGCAUUACCAAGCCAUGAAAACACAUGGAAGACGCUUGAAUGCAUAUUACUAAGUGAAAGAAGCCAAUCCGAAAAGGCAACAAAAUUCCAAUUAUGUGGCAUCUGGAAAAAAGGUAAAACUAUGGAGACAAUAAAAAGAUCAGAGAAACAGUGUAUUUUAAAAGGAAUGUAAAAAGAUUAGAUUUAUUAAGAAUAAAAUUGGGGAGUUCCUGUCACGGCUCAGUGGUUAACAAAUCUGACUAACAUCCAUGAGGACGCAGGUUCGAUCCCUGGCCUUGUUCAGUGGGUUAAGCAUAUGGCAUUACUGUGAGCUGUGAUGUAGGUCACAGAUGCAGCUUGGAUCCUGCAUUGCUGUGGCUGUGGCUGUGGUGUAGGCCCCCAGCUACAGCUCUGAUUCAACCCCUAGCCUGGAAACCUCCACAUGCCAUGAGUGAGGCCCUAAAAAGAAAGAAAAAAAAA
rnacentral:lncRNA from 1 species